rnacentral:rRNA from 1 species
AGAACCGGAACACAGGUGCUGCAUGGCUGUCGUCAGCUCGUGUCGUGAGAUGUUGGGUUAAGUCCCGCAACGAGCGCAACCCUUGUCAUUAGUUGCUACGAAAGGGCACUCUAAUGAGACUGCCGGUGACAAACCGGAGGAAGGUGGGGAUGACGUCAAGUCCUCAUGGCCCUUAUGGGUAGGGCUUCACACGUCAUACAAUGGUCGGGACAGAGGGUCGCCAACCCGCGAGGGGGAGCCAAUCCCAGAAACCCGAUCGUAGUCCGGAUCGCAGUCUGCAACUCGACUGCGUGAAGUCGGAAUCGCUAGUAAUCGCGGAUCAGCAUGUCGCGGUGAAUACGUUCCCGGGUCUUGU